CCUGUCCAGCCCAUUUUAAACUUGGUCCGGCCGGGCGUCUGCCCUUUUCCGCCGCGGCGUGCUCCUGGUGCUGUGUGUUCUGCCCAGGGUGUUAGUGAACACAAGCCUGGUGCUUGAGAUGAGCCAGUGCAACUUCGAGAAGAAAAGGGAAAUGGCAGUGAAAUUACCUGACAGUGAGUAGAUCAGACGUUCCCGCCAGUUUGCUC